AGUUUGAUCAUGGCUCAGAGCGAACGCUGGCGGCAGGCUUAACACAUGCAAGUCGAACGGGCGUAGCAAUACGUCAGUGGCAGACGGGUGAGUAACGCGUGGGAACGUACCUUUUGGUUCGGAACAACCCAGGGAAACUUGGGCUAAUACCGGAUAAGCCCUUACGGGGAAAGAUUUAUCGCCGAAAGAUCGGCCCGCGUCUGAUUAGCUUGUUGGUGAGGUAACGGCUCACCAAGGCGACGAUCAGUAGCUGGUCUGAGAGGAUGAUCAGCCACAUUGGGACUGAGACACGGCCCAAACUCCUACGGGAGGCAGCAGUGGGGAAUAUUGGACAAUGGGCGCAAGCCUGAUCCAGCCAUGCCGCGUGAGUGAUGAAGGCCCUAGGGUUGUAAAGCUCUUUUGUGCGGGAAGAUAAUGACGGUACCGCAAGAAUAAGCCCCGGCUAACUUCGUGCCAGCAGCCGCGGUAAUACGAAGGGGGCUAGCGUUGCUCGGAAUUACUGGGCGUAAAGGGUGCGUAGGCGGGUCUUUAAGUCAGGGGUGAAAUCCUGGAGCUCAACUCCAGAACUGCCUUUGAUACUGAGGAUCUUGAGUUCGGGAGAGGUGAGUGGAACUGCGAGUGUAGAGGUGAAAUUCGUAGAUAUUCGCAAGAACACCAGUGGCGAAGGCGGCUCACUGGCCCGAUACUGACGCUGAGGCACGAAAGCGUGGGGAGCAAACAGGAUUAGAUACCCUGGUAGUCCACGCCG
rnacentral:rRNA from 1 species